GACUGAGGACCAACGGGACGUCGCUGGAUGCAUGGCGAGAAGGAAGAUGUAGGAUUUGACCUUCCAAACAGUCUGGACAAAUUUCAUUCCAAACUUAUAAACCCUACAGCAUGAACCAGCUUUUCUGCCACAGUCAAAUAUGAGGAUAAUAUCAUUCCUUUGAAUUCUCACGGAUUUUUGUCAUUCACUAAGAGCUGAGGGAAGAAGAGAAUCCACAUUCUUCAGAGUGAUCAGUAAAAUGAUAUUUCUGGAAAUGCAAAAAUGUAAUCGACUCCUGUUUAAAUAAAUCUAUGCAGUAGGAGGCUGGAACACAAGAUAACAAGAUAUGCACAAAACAGCCUUCGUUAGUACUCCAAAUUGCAUCGCUCAAAGGACUCUAAACUGCAGUAGGAAAUCAGAUUCAGCCUCAUUUGUUAUUAUCUCCACCUUUCAGUUAUUCCAAUAUUAUCUCCACCUUUCAGUUAUUACAAUAUUAUCUCAACAGUACAGCAUCACUGGUCCAGGCCUUAUCUGAAGAAUAAAAUAGAGCCUGUUUUCUAGAGCACCACAAGGACUCACCUGGGCAUCCCAUGCACCUUUGUACUGAACACCCCAGCCCCUUUAAUCUGCUUUAUUCUCUGCACAUGCAACAGUUGCCCGUUGGCGAAUCUGACUUUCUGGCCUCUGACCUUGGCCAGACUGUCUUUGGCCAAGAGCGUGCUUCCAAUAAUGCUGAUGCCUGUGUUGAAUGCAGGUCUCUUGAGAACCUCAGUGUCACAGAUUUUGAACAUCUGCCCUUCUGAGUAGAUGCAGAAUAAACAACUGUUUUUCAACAUCUGUAAAAAUUUUAAGUCAGGGAGCUUUCAAAUUCUUUGUACGUGAAGCCAUUAGUUUAGUAAUAGGAUGGAUAUGACACCACGUGGGAAAAAAAGUCUUAGACUAGAAAUAUUUUAUCUUUUCUCUACUGACAAGAACUAAAGUAAAUAUUAGAUCUCCCUUGUGUUUCUCUAUGCUUCCUCCUCCAUCAGGAUGGAGUCUAUUCCUGGAAUCUAGAGCUUGAACCUGCAGGAGUGCUGAGGCUCACAUAACCACCAGCAGCAGCUUCUCUGUGUAUCAGGCAUUUUUUUCUACCCUGGAAGUUGUACCUGUGAUAACAGAUGCAGCGACAUGCAGCAUUUUCUCUGGUUUUCUCAGUAAUGGCAUGACUGACAUAUUUUAUAAUCCUACUCCACAGAGCAGCAGAUGGUGCCUACCCUUUCUCAUCCUGUACAAGACUUGGUAUUUCUUCUCUGUCAGUCAUAAGACAGGUUUUUGAUUUUUGCUGGCUGCACAAGCCAUGGAAUUUCAUACAGCAGUAGCUACUUCUCCUGCCAAUCUCGUAUCUCUCGAGGCCCAAACUUAGCAAAAGUCCUUAACUCUUGGUACAACUUUUAUGCCAAAUGUAGCAAGCCCUGAAUGAUCACUGACUAGCACUAUUCUUUAGAAGGACUGACUCUCAAAGUGUGUGCAAAUUAAAGGCAGAGGCAUGCCAUAGCAAUUCAGCACAAAGAUUAAUCACUCUCUUUACCACUAGAGCAAAUGUGUCUAUUAGUACAAGGCCUGUUAACAUCACACAGAAACCUCAGAAGAUGCGUGCAUGGUCAUCCACCUUUUCUGCUCCACCUUGACGUGAGAUGACAGUCACAUAGCGCAUUAAAGCACUACAACACUCAAACUAGUACACCAUACUAGUCAAUAGAGCAUGUUCAUUUAGAUUCAAAAUGAUGCUCAAACAGUUAUGCUCAG